UGUGUGUGUAUGUAGGUAUGUCUCUGUGUGUGUGUGUAUGUGUGUGUCAGUAUGUCUGCCAGGAUAUAUUUGUGUGUCAGUGUAUGUGUGUGUCAGUAUGUAUCUGUGAAUGUUUUAAUGUCUGUCUGUGUGUAUGUGCCAGUACGUCUGUCUGUGUGUAUGUAUGUCUGUGUGUAUGUAAGUAUGUCUGUGUAUGUGUGUGUCAGUCAGUAUGUCUGUCAGUGUAUGUGUCUGUGUGUAUGUAUGUAUGUAUGUCUGUGUGUGUGUGUCAGUAUGUCUGCCAGGAUAUAUUUGUAUGUCAGCGUAUGUGUGUGUCAGUAUAUAUCUGUGAAUGUUUAAUGUCUGUCUGUAUCAGCCAUUACGUCUGUCUGUGUAUAUGUCAGUAUGCCUGUGUGUGUGUGU